CAUUCCAAGAUCCCUCACUUCAGGGCGUGGGAGAAAAGGACAGAUAUUCCCUGGGCUUCAGGAAGAACGUGAAGGAAGUUUUCGGAGAUCAAAAGCUGUAUUGGCUGUUACCUGUCUUUACAAGUCCGGGAGAUGGCUGCUCUUUUCCAACUCGCGUUGUUUCAGGGGACCCUGAACAAAACGCUGGCAUAAACCAGAGCGACAUCGCCAAACCUUGAGGCUUUCUCUGCCAGAUCUCCCCGUGAGUCCCAGAACCUCGUGUCGGGAAGUGAGGCUGGAUGAACUAGGACGGAAAGUCCGGGAGAUGGCUGCUCUUUUCCAACUCGCGUUGUUUCAGGGGACCCUGAACAAAACGCUGGCAUAAACCAGAGCGACAUCGCCAAACCUUGAGGCUUUCUCUGCCAGAUCUCCCGGUGAGUCCCAGAACCUCGUGUCGGGAAGUGAGGCUGGAUGAACUAGGACGGAAAGUUAAACAGCGUAUGGAGCCGUCACCAUGUGGGUUUGUGGAUAUCAUGUGCCUAGAAAGGGAAGACCAUUCCUUCAUAUGUUUUGAAGCUUAUCAGAACACAGAGGCUUAAUUCCACCAUCAGCGGACCCCAAUGCUGUUCAUUGAAUUAUGUUACAUUUCCGUGCUAUUGUUUUGUUGUACAUAGUUACCUACUUAGUUGUUAAGAUUAGUUACAGUAAAGUAGUUUUAGGAAAUUGUUUGUACUUGAUGUAUAUUUUCUAUUUAAUUGAGAAAAAUUACAGAAGCUCCACCAUACGUUUGUUAUAUAUUCUGAGCAUAUUCUGAUCCAUCUAGACCUCACAAAUCUUGUGUAAUGGGUUGUUAUGAUUUUUUCCAAACAUCAUCAUUAAAGAGGCGUUACACAUGGAACUCUCUCCUUUUUGCAGCAAGAAUCA